rnacentral:rRNA from 1 species
UACGUAGGGGGCAAGCGUUGUCCGGAUUUAUUGGGCGUAAAGCGCUCGCAGGUGGUCCGUUGCGUCGUGCGUGAAAGACCCCGGCUCAACUGGGGAGUGUCGUGCGAUACGGGCGGACUAGAGGCCAGUAGGGGGAUGCGGAAUUCCGGGUGAGUGGUGGAAUGCGUAGAGAUCCGGAGGAACACCAGCGGCGAAGGCGGCAUCCUGGACUGGUCCGUGGAC